GAACGCUGGCGGCGUGCUUAACACAUGCCAGUCGAACGGCAAGGCCCUGCUUUUGUGGGGUGCUCGAGUGGCGAACGGGUGAGUAACACGUGAGUAACCUGCCCUUGACUUUGGGAUAACUUCAGGAAACUGGGGCUAAUACCGGAUAGGAGCUCCUGCUGCAUGGUGGGGGUUGGAAAGUUUCGGCGGUUGGGGAUGGACUCGCGGCUUAUCAGCUUGUUGGUGGGGUAGUGGCUUACCAAGGCUUUGACGGGUAGCCGGCCUGAGAGGGUGACCGGCCACAUUGGGACUGAGAUACGGCCCAGACUCCUACGGGAGGCAGCAGUGGGGAAUAUUGCACAAUGGGCGGAAGCCUGAUGCAGCAACGCCGCGUGCGGGAUGACGGCCUUCGGGUUGUAAACCGCUUUCGCCUGUGACGAAGCGUGAGUGACGGUAAUGGGUAAAGAAGCACCGGCUAACUACGUG
rnacentral:rRNA from 1 species